ACAUUUUUUUUCAAUGUAAAGUGGAAGCCAUUCUUGGAACAACAACCUUAAUUUACAACCUCUCCCUGCCCCUAAUGCUUCCUCCUCCCAAUUUAUCCAAUCAGGCAGUGGGUGUUGUCUGUGUGUGAGCCAAUAAUGGCAAAGCACUUGCCCUUUGAAACAGGACCAUGAUAAAUUGUAUGUCAGUCUUGUGUGAAGAGGAACCAUGUGAGGGGGGAAAUUGAAAUAAUAAAUGGCAUUUUGUACGGUGGCAGAGAGAGCUUAACGCGCUGCAACUUCAGAAAACACAUGCAAAUAGAAAAGGCACCAUCAAAUCAAGAAAACAUCUUCAUCAGUUUGACACGCAUCGAGCUCUCUCGGCCACCAUAGGUUUUGACAGUCUUUGAUGUGGCAUGACAGAUUGCUGUAUAAACACCUUGGAGAGCCUUCUGGAAACGUGGAAACGGAAACGUGCUGGUAUAAACCCAACACAAGCACUUGUGCAGAGCAGAGCGCAAGUGAACGCGAUCAUUCCUUCCGCUGUACUACAAGGUUUAACGCGAAUCAACAUGACAGAACAACUCAUGCCUCAUCAUGUAAUUGCUCAAUCAGUGUUUCAACCGCGGAAAGACAUCAACAAAACAGCGUGGAAAUAAAAUGUCGUAACAUUUCAUUUACCUCAGCAAGUC